AGGGAUUGAAUGUGAAUUAAAUGGUGGGAGCAAAGUGAAAAUGCAGUGUCUUUCCCUUUUGAAUGGGUUUUGCUUUUAAAAACACAAGGAAUGGAAGGACUGUACAUUCCAUUUCUCAUUAUCUCUCUCUAUCAAAUCCAAUUCCAUCGCUGUCAUCACUGCCGAUGACUCUCAUAGUGGAAAAGAAAUCAAGCGAAGAGAAAUCGAGACCAGAGAGAGUGUAGCGGAGGGAAGAAGCGACACUAAAAAGCCACCCAGGGCUUCGAUGGCCAUUAUUAAUAAAUUUCAAUGGCUUUGAUUUUGGUCUGUUUCUUUCUUCUUGAAUUGCAACCAUAGGAAGACAAAUCGCAGGAGAAGAAUAGUUUGAUGUCAUUUGGUGGUUGCAUAUCAGGACUACUCUAAGUUGUGAUUUUCUUGUGAUAUAGUGUGGGCAAGGAAGUACCAAUGAUGAGCUAAGGCCUACAUGUGUAUCGUCGUUGCUGGGCAUCCGCAUAGAUGGCGUUGAUGCUGGUCUUUGGCAUACAAUUUGCAUAUCAAGCGAUGGUGCUGUGUAUGCCUUCGGUGGGAAUCACUUUGGACAAUUGGGUACUAGAACCGAUCAUGUUGAGGUCCUUAAUUCACUCGUGUUUUCUUCUUCUUAUUAUUCUUAAUCAUCUGCACCAAAAGCCCGAUCCGUUGCUCGAACGCUCUCUACGUUCAUAGUUUUCUUUCUUCCUCUAUUGCCAUGGCCAGCCCCCUUAGUUUGCAAACGUCCGACGGUGGUACAAACAGUCAUAUGUUCUUAGUGAACUCCGUGAAGGGAGCACCGGACCUAUCAUGAUAAUGGUUUGUAGAAAAUGGGACGUGACAAGUGUUAACGGCAGGUACAUGAGCACCGACUAUAUUGUCACUGACAUAAAGAUGGGGAUGGUUGUAAGCCCUUUGGUUCUUCCACACCUCCAUCGAUCCCCGCUAAAGACAAGGGGUGCUACCCAUACCGACACCAGUUAAGCGCGUUGAAGCGAUCGUAAGGCCUGCUUAUGCAGAUUCGGAUUCAGAAGAAACAGUUGACAGUGACCCACAUGAAAGUCAGUUGGCUGGUUAUGGGAUUGGGGAUGACGGCGGCAUGCGUUAGCUAAAGUUUGGUCUAUCUGUUAUCCAAUAAGAUAGGAAGGCGUGCGAGAGUUUAUGCUUUUUUCCUUUUUCUGUUUCAUGUUUUUUUUCCUUGGAAGACAUCUUUUUUCACUUCUUUUUGGCCGGCAAGUUUUGCCAAGUAAACAACUUAUGGUCAAUAGUUUAAUAAAGUUU